GCUCCAGUAGCACAAUUGGUCAGUGCACAGUACUUAUAAGACAGUAAAUUGUGGAGCAAUGCUGAGGUUGUGAGUUCAAGCCUCACCUGGAGCA
rfam:Oryzias latipes DNA, ultracontig112, strain: Hd-rR.